CUGUGAUUGGGGUGAUGUUGGCCAGGUGUCAUGGCUGACUGAAUCUCAGAUAAUAGUCCUGACAGGAGUUUGUUGAUGCAUGGGAUCAAGUUCGUACACACAGACCACAGAUGACCAGGCCAUGCAUGCCAUUCAAAUGACCAGAGUGACCAGAGAUUAUGGAGGCAACUGACCAAUGUGACAAGAAGAUUAGGCUUAAAGCAGCGAUGGACAGUCAAUAUUUAGUCAGGGUGCCAACUGCAGGGUGGACAUGGAAAGUGUACCCUAGUCCUUCGGAUGGGAUAUAAAAAAAUGUCAACCCAUGUACACAUUGGUAUGCAGGUAAAAGAACUCUUGAAUUCAAGCAAAAUUCUGCACCCUGCAUUUGCACACAUCAGUACAGUAAUGAAAACAAACGUACAUCGUCUCAAAAUAAAC